GCAUAUCAAUAAGCGGAGGAAAAGAAACCAAUAGGGAUUGCCCCAGUAACGGCGAGUGAAGCGGCAACAGCUCAAAUUUGAAAUCUGGCCCCGGGCCCGAGUUGUAAUUUGCAGAGGAUGCUUUUGGUGACGCGCCUACCGAGUCCCCUGGAACGGGGCGCCACAGAGGGUGAGAGCCCCGUAUGGUUUGACGCCGAGCCUCUGUAAAGCUCCUUCGACGAGUCGAGUAGUUUGGGAAUGCUGCUCUAAAUGGGAGGUAAAUUUCUUCUAAAGCUAAAUACCGGCCAGAGACCGAUAGCGCACAAGUAGAGUGAUCGAAAGAUGAAAAGCACUUUGAAAAGAGGGUUAAAUAGCACGUGAAAUUGUUGAAAGGGAAGCGCUCGUGACCAGACUUGCGCCGGGCGGAUCAUCCAGCGUUCUCGCUGGUGCACUCCGCCCGGCUCAGGCCAGCAUCGGUUUUCGCCGGGGGAUAAAAGCACCGGGAAUGUGGCUCCCCUCGGGGAGUGUUAUAGCCCGGCGCGCAAUACCCCGGCGGGGACCGAGGACCGCGCUUCGGCAAGGAUGCUGGCGUAAUGGUCAUCAGCGACCCGUCUUGAAACACGGACCGAGGAGUCAAGCAUUAGUGCGAGUGUUUGGGUGUAAAACCCGCACGCGUAAUGAAAGUGAACGUAGGUGAGAGCUUCGGCGCAUCAUCGACCGAUCCUGAUGUUUUCGGAUGGAUUUGAGUAGGAGCAUUAACGCUUGGACCCGAAAGAUGGUGAACUAUACUUGAAUAGGGUGAAGCCAGAGGAAACUCUGGUGGAGGCUCGCAGCGGUUCUGACGUGCAAAUCGAUCGUCAA
rnacentral:rRNA from 1 species